AUUGAACGCUGGCGGCAGGCCUAACACAUGCAAGUCGAGCGGUAGCACAGAGAGCUUGCUCUCGGGUGACGAGCGGCGGACGGGUGAGUAACGUCUGGGAAACUGCCUGAUGGAGGGGGAUAACUACUGGAAACGGUAGCUAAUACCGCAUAACGUCGCAAGACCAAAGAGGGGGACCUUCGGGCCUCUUGCCAUCAGAUGUGCCCAGAUGGGAUUAGCUAGUAGGUGGGGUAACGGCUCACCUAGGCGACGAUCCCUAGCUGGUCUGAGAGGAUGACCAGCCACACUGGAACUGAGACACGGUCCAGACUCCUACGGGAGGCAGCAGUGGGGAAUAUUGCACAAUGGGCGCAAGCCUGAUGCAGCCAUGCCGCGUGUAUGAAGAAGGCCUUCGGGUUGUAAAGUACUUUCAGCGGGGAGGAAGGUGUUGAGGUU
rnacentral:rRNA from 1 species